CCCUUAGAUGUUCGGGGCCGCACGCGCGCUACACUGAAGGAAUCAGCGUGCCGUCGUCCUGGCCCGGAAGGGCCGGGCAACCCGUUGAACCUCCUUCGUGCUAGGGAUCGGGGCUUGCAAUUCUUGACCGUGAACGAGGAAUUCCCAGUAAGCGCGAGUCAUCAGCUCGUGUUGAUUACGUCCCUGCCCUUUGUACACACCGCCCGUCGCUACUACUGAUUGGAUGUUUAAGCGAGGUUCUCGAACUGCUAGCGACUUAGCUUCGGUGAGGUCGCAGUGUGGGAAGUGAACCUAGCUUUGGUGUCUAGAGGAAGUAAAAGUCGUAACA
rnacentral:rRNA from 1 species